rnacentral:RNase_P_RNA from 1 species
AGUGGGCCAGGCGAUCGCGGGCCGUCCGUCUUUCGGCGGGCUGGCAUGAGGAAAGUCCGGGCUCCAUAGGGCAGGAAGCAGGCUAACGGCCUGGCGGGGCGACCCGACGGAAAGCGCCGCAGAAAAGAAGACUCCCGCUGCCCGCCUCGGCGGGUGAGAGAAAAGCUGAAACGGUGGGGUAAGGGCCCACCAGCGUCCGGGCGACCGGACGGCUUGGCAAGCCCCUUCCGGAGCAAACGCAAAUAGGAGUGCCAUGGGGCGGCCCGUCCCGCACUCGGGUUGCGCGCUAGAGGGCGUCGGCAACGGCGUCAGUAGAUAAAUGAUCGUCCACGACAGAACCCGGCUCAUAGGCCCACUUC